rnacentral:rRNA from 1 species
UUCGUCCAAUUGAAGCAGAGGACAGUGGCGGACGGGUGAGUAACGCGUGAGGAACCUGCCUUUCAGAGGGGGACAACAGUUGGAAACGACUGCUAAUACCGCAUGAUGUAUCUGGAAGGCAUCUUCCGGAUACCAAAGAUUUAUCGCUGAAAGAUGGCCUCGCGUCUGAUUAGCUAGUUGGUGAGGUAACGGCCCACCAAGGCGACGAUCAGUAGCCGGACUGAGAGGUUGAACGGCCACAUUGGGACUGAGAUACGGCCCAGACUCC